GCGCCCGUAGCUCAACUGGAUAGAGCGUCGGCCUCCGGAGCCGAAGGCUACAGGUUCGACCCCUGUCGGGCGCA
rnacentral:tRNA from 1 species